CCAAAAUCUAUUAGAUGCGACCAUAUCGUGUGGUUCCGUGUCUAUAAAUUUUUCAUGAUUUGACCUCAAAUCAGGUAGGAACACCCGCUGAACUUAAGCAUAUCAAUAAGCGGAGGAAAAGAAAAUAACAAUGAUUCCCCUAGUAACUGCGAGUGAAGAGGGACAAGCUCAAAUUUUAAAUCUAUCGGGUUUUACCUGAUCGAGUUGUAAUUUGAAGAAGCGUUUUCUGCGUAUUUGGUCAGCCUAAGUCCUAUUGAAUGAGGCAUCAUGGAGGGUGAUAAUCCCGUCCGGUUGAUCAUUUGCGUUUUACGAUACGCUUUCUAAGAGUCAAGUUGUUUGGGAUUGCAGCUUAAAAUGGGAGGUAAAUUUCUCCUAAGGCUAAAUAACGGCGAGAGACCGAUAGCGAACAAGUACCGUGAGGGAAAGAUGAAAAGAACUUUGAAAAGAGAGUUAAACAGUACGUGAAAUUGUUGAAAGGGAAACGAUUGAAGCCAGUCGUACCUUCGGGUAAUCAGCCUUUCGGGUGCGAUUCUGUGGAGUGUGAGGAGCUUAAACACCUUCAUGUUUUGCAUAUUCGUACUCUUGGGUGUACUUGCCCGUGUGGUUGGUUAACAUCAAUUUUGGUGGUCAUAAAAUGACUGGGGGAAUGUAGCUUCGAUCUUGUAUUGAAGUGUUAUAGCCUUCGGUAGAUGUGAUGAUCGAGAUUGAGGAUUGCAACGGAUACCCUUCGGGGCUACCUGUCUGGUCUCUGAUCGUUGCUCUGGUGCCGAAAGCUUGCUUACGGUUAUCAAAGUCGAUGGUCAAUAGGUUAGAACGGGUUA
rnacentral:rRNA from 1 species